AUCCCCUGGCAAUAGGCAGAGACACCUUGUUGGUGAUAUUGCUCUUCUGUCAAUCAGGGGCAGAGCACAUGGCAGUCCUUGUUCAUCCUAGCUUGUUGCCUGCCCUGGUAGCCAAAGUUGUGUCAUGCCUAGGACACAUAA